UGAACGCUGCUGCCAAGUGCCAUCCAGUGGAAAGGCAGGGUGGUAAAAACAUGAUUAUGUGUCCUUCUCCACCAUAUUCACCUGAUCUGGCACCAUGUGCUUUCUGGCUCUUCCCUAGAGUCAAAAUGACCAUGAAAUUCAGGACAUCAAGGCUGCCGAGACAAUGAAACUAAAGACACUCACAAAAGAGGAUGUCCAGAAAUGCUGCAGAGGAUAGCAAGAAAAAUGGAAUAUCCCACAAUUGGAAAAUGCUUUCUCUGCCUGAGUCCUUUCAAACACUUUGAGUGUCCACUGCCCAAAGAAGUCACUGAUCUUUCAGUCUUCCAUUAACAUGACCUGGUGGCCCAUAUCUCAGCAUAUUGAUUCCUCAAGAGAAUUUUAGCAACAACCCAUGGCAUCCCUUAAGCUGUAGUGGACACACGUGGUACUCUUUACCUGAUCCUGUUGCAGCCUCUCUGCCUUGAUUUAAGAAGAGCUGCUGUUACAUUAUCAUGAUUAUCUGGAAUAAAAGUACAACAUGUCAUAUGAAGCAUGAUGUAUGUGCCCCUUGAGCAGACUUGUGUGGGGGCAGUAGAUCCAAGGCACUUUUAUCAUUAGUUCCAUCUGCAUGACCACUCUGAAUUUGACAGUCCCUAGAUUUCUUGCUUUGAUGAAGGAAGCUGCAUGUGGAAUAAAUCUACAUUUCACAGCAAGUAAGGACCUGAAACUGGAACAUGACACGGGGAGCCUGCAGCACAACCCUAUUAAUGAAUGAUGUAAUGGAAACUGGGAACACCAGCUUUCUCUUUAGACUUGAGUAUUCAACUUCUAAGACAACCAUGAUUGGUAAGGAAAUUACAGUUCCCUGGGCAUGCUGUGUAUUUCAAGGUGCUUCAUAUCUAGAUAAGAUAACUGAUCUCCAGGACGUUUAACAACUGAGUUUUGAAGACCAGGGUUAAAAAGAUAACUGGACUAAGAGGAUAGCCAAUAUUUUGGCCCUGGUCCUCCAAGGUCAACAAGGACCCAGGACAUGGGGAGAACUUUUCUCCAGGAUACUACAACUUUGGUGAGUCCCCCAAACUCCUGAACAGGAAAAUUUUUAGACCUUCAAGAAUAGGAGUAAACCAAUGUGCAGUGUGCUAAAAAAAAAAGAGUCACCAGAGAGAAAAACAUCUCCCUUGCUUCCACAGGAAGCCAAAUGGUAAGAAAGGCUGUGACUCAUCCUGGCAGCUGUGACAGAGGAGCUGAGAGGCUCUGCAUAUAGUUCCAAAAGUAAUACCUGAGGAGCCUUAACUGACCUUGAUAAAUAGCAAGAGGUUAAUUUUGAUUAACACAGGUAUCACUUUAACUUGAUCUUGAACAUUCAACAGAAAAGUUUAACCAAAAAGAUAUUAAAGUAAGAGUAAUGUAGUCAAAACACAAAAGGGGGGCUCCAAUCACUGACCCCUGCUAACAGUUUCUAGGUACACCUGUAUACAGGUCUAGAAACCAACUGGCUAUAAUUGCUAUUCCAGUCCCUUAAGGGCAGUGUCUUAAUGUGGCUCUUUUGCCAAUUUGUCUUUCCAUUUUGAUGCUUAUGCUUUGGUUAUGAAUACUUUAACAUCUUGGUAAAGAUUGUUUAUUCUCACCUAGGUGCUGCCAAACUCCUAAUGAGCAUGCAGAUGGAACCAAUGAUAAAAGUGCUUUGGAUCCAUUGCCCCUGCACAGACUGCCCAAGGGGCACAUGUGCCAUGCUUCAUAUGACACGUUGUACUUUCAUCCCAGAUAAUCAUGAUAAUAGGAGAUAAACACAGGAGGUUCAGGCAGUAUAUCAAAUGUUUCAGGAUGCCUCACAGAAUUCAUGGGGUUCAUGAAAGACCACUAUCUUAUCUUGGAUUCUUCCCUUUACAGUGCCUAUUCUUCUCUUUUUACUCACCUGUUUAUUAUUGCCAUGUCUAAUCAAUCUAUUGCAAAGAUUUUUUUCACCAAGAAGAUUGUGGCUAUUUCACCAGCAGUUGCCAAAGGCCAUAACAAUAAGAUCCUCUUCCUUUAGUCCAGAUGAAAUUCUGAUCAUCACCACCCCUAUUCAACAGGAAGUAGGUAAGGAAGAAAUGUGCUGCCUGUUUUCCCUAUCUAUCCAUAGUGUCUGGAACGAAGGAAUAUGACCACCACAUCCUAGGUUGAUCAAAAACCACACUAAGCUCCCCCUCCCAUUACAGCUAUACUCAGUCACUCAUAUUAUUAUCAGUCCUGCUAUUGACAGCAACCACUACUCCCAGCAUUUUCUCAAGCCUCAUCCUUGGGAAACCAUUACCUCUUGUGUUUUCUCAAGCCUUGUUCUUGGCAGGUAGUCACAACCUCCUUUCACUGAACUUCUCCCCAAUCCCAUGACCCUCUAAAAGACCCUGUACCCUGUACAAGAGGAUCAAGUCUGGUCUCAGUGUGAGAAAGGUCCCUUUCUGGUUUGUUCCGAAAUAAACAUGUCCUGUUGAGCUCGUACCUUUGUUUCUUUUCCUUCUUUUUUCCCCCUAAACCCAGCUUUGCCAUUUAAGAACCAAAAUAAGAAAAUGGACCACACCAAUCUCUUUGCUGGGGUACAGGUAAGAAGCCCCAUGUUCACCUGGCUUGUUGAGCCAUUUAGUAGAGAGCCACAGGAGAGGUACUAGAUUCCAGAGGCAAACUUGAUUCCUUCAACAGUUCAAAAAGUCCUUAUGUCUUCUGUGGAAUCUGACCCUUUGUGCUAAGAAUGUAAUACUGGAAACAACAGAAGCAUACAUUUCAGACAUUUCUUUACACUGGGUUCCAGCUGAUAUUAAGUGCUAUUUGUAUUGUGUGAGGAAUGAUUAGAGAUGGUCACUGUUUUUCUCUUGUGCAUGUAGAAAUAAGACAGCAGGAACACAAAGGUGAUUUCAGAUGAAUCUGAUUUAAUGAAAACACUGUGAAGAUUUCUAGAAAAAUAUAGCAAUUUACCUUCUCUGCAAGAUAUUUCUAUACUUGUUACAAAUUUUGGUGGCUAAUUGCCAAGCUUGGUGGGGCAUGCCUAUAAUCCCAGCACUUGGGAGGUUAAAGCAGGAGAACUGUGAGUCUACACCAGCCUAAAAUGUAGCAAAAUCGUGUCUGAGGGCCAUGGAUUUAGGUCAGUGGUUCCGGUGCCUGCCUCGAAAGCACAAGGUACCGAGUUCGAUU